GAGAGAGACAUGCGCGCAUAUCAAUAAGCGGAGGAAAAGAAACUAACAAGGAUUCCCUUAGUAACGGCGAGUGAAGCGGGAAGAGCUCAAAUUUGAAAUCUUCAAGGUUCUACCUUGACGAAUUGUAGUUUAUAGAAGUGUUUUCUGUUAGUGGAGUGGCAAAAGUUCUUUGGAAUAGGACAUCAUAGAGGGUGAGAAUCCCGUAUUUGACCAUUACUUUCCAGCGUUGUGAUACACUUUCAAAGAGUCGGAUUGUUUGGGAAUGCAGUCCAAAAUGGGUGGUAAAUUUCAUCUAAAGCUAAAUAUUGGCGAGAGACCGAUAGCGAACAAGUACCGUGAGGGAAAGAUGAAAAGAACUUUGAAAAGAGAGUUAAACAGUACGUGAAAUUGUCAAAAGGGAAGCGUUUGACACCAGUGUUGUUUUUCCGAAAAUCAAUUACGAAUGUUUUAGUUUUUGAGGAGUUAUGACUUCAUCGGCUUGCUCCUUUCUUUAUGAAACUUUCUUAAUGCACUUUUCGGUUAACAAGUCAACAUCAAUUUCUUUUGUUGUAAAAGGGUAUGAGGAAGGUGGCUUUCUUUUCGGAGAAAGUGUUUAUAGCCUUGUGCCUCUGCAAUCGGAGAGAUUGAGGUCUGCAGCGUAGAUCCUUCGGGGUUAGAUACGUUUGUGCUAAGUUAUAGCUUUUCAUAGACAACUUGUUGACUAUGUUUAGUCUUGUAGCUUACUCGCUGACGCUAUUUUACCUACGCUUAGGAUGUUGAUAGUCACAGCGUGUAC
rnacentral:rRNA from 1 species